GAUGAACGCUGGCGGCGUGCCUAAUACAUGCAAGUCGAGCGAACGGACGAGAAGCUUGCUUCUCUGAUGUUAGCGGCGGACGGGUGAGUAACACGUGGAUAACCUACCUAUAAUACUGGGAUAACUUCGGGAAACCGGAGCUAAUACCGGAUAAUAUUUUGAACCGCAUGGUUCAAAAGUGAAAGACGGUCUUGCUGUCUCUUAUAGAUGGAUCCGCGCUGCAUUAGCUAGUUGGUAAGGUAACGGCUUACCAAGGCAACGAUGCAUAGCCGACCUGAGAGGGUGAUCGGCCACACUGGAACUGAGACACGGUCCAGACUCCUACGGGAGGCAGCAGUAGGGAAUCUUCCGCAAAGGGCGAAAGCCUGACGGAGCAACGCCGCGUGAGUGAUGAAGGUCUUCGGAUCGUAAAACUCUGUUAUUAGGGAAGAACAUAUGUGUAAGUAACUGUGCACAUCUUGACGGUACCUAAUCAGAAAGCCACGGCUAACUACGUG
rnacentral:rRNA from 1 species